CCUACGGGAGACAGCAGUGAGGAAUAUUGGUCAAUGGACGAGAGUCUGAACCAGCCAAGUAGCGUGAAGGAUGACUGCCCUAUGGGUUGUAAACUUCUUUUAUAAAGGAAUAAAACGAGGCACGUGUGCCUUUUUGCAUGUACUUUAUGAAUAAGGAUCGGCUAACUCCGUGCCAGCAGCCGCGGUAAUACGGAGGAUCCGAGCGUUAUCCGGAUUUAUUGGGUUUAAAGGGAGCGUAGAUGGGUUGUUAAGUCAGUUGUGAAAGUUUGCGGCUCAACCGUAAAAUUGCAAUUGAUACUGGCAGUCGUGAGUACAGUUGAGGUAGGCGGAAUUCGUGGUGUAGCGGUGAAAUGCUUAGAUAUCACGAAGAACCCCGAUUGCGAAGGCAGCUUACUAAACUGUGACUGACAUUGAUGCUCGAAAGUGUGGGUAUCAAACAGGAUUAGAUACCCCUGUAUUC
rnacentral:rRNA from 1 species